GGGAGAGCAGGCUGGCUUUCCAACAAGAGCAGGAGUGUGACGGAAAGGCCUUGGCAGCCCCAACGGGACCGCUUUGCAUUCCUGCCAGCUUCUCCUAUAGCGUCGUGACCAAGGGCACAAGGAAGCUCUGGAGCCAGACUGCCUGGGUUCAGGGCCAUGACUAGCCGUGUGACCUUAGGUCCCGGUCGCCAGAGAUGCCCGAUCAUGUGCCAUCCCACAGCCAAGCGCCUGUGUCCAUCUGCUAGGGAGCCCGAGGCGAGAUGAUGGCCUUCUUCUCAAGUUCCACGCAGCCGAGGAGCAGUGCAGGGGGCCUGGUGGGCUCAGCAGCACCCCUGAUGGGUUCCCAGAGAAGAGCUGCUGAGCUCAGAAGCGAGCGCCUGACAAGAGUUGUGCCGCACGCGGCCACACUGAGUUCCAGAGAGGCUGCUCUUGCGUCUCCCACACAGACGGGUCUGCUGCUCUGGACGGACGCCCACCUCCCUACAGCCUUGUUCUCAUGGAAUAUUACCUCUUCCUUUUUCAUCUUUGCCAAGAGCACAUCAUGUGUCUUAUUUUGCAUUUAUUUGGUCUUUACCGAGAUUGAAAAUAUUUUCAAGUGUUUCCUGGCC
rnacentral:lncRNA from 1 species